UUAAGUUCUUGUCUUAAUACCCUCAUUUUCUUCCUAUUUUUUUUAAACAGAUUCUUAAUCAGUAACGUUUUACUUUGAAUUUUGACUGCAUGCUUACUUACAAGAAUUUUGACUAUAUGCUUACUUACAUGAUUAUUAUAAUAUAUCUCUUUUUGCUUCAAAUUGAUCAAUUUGACAUUCCUUUUGGGAAAAUUUGAGUUCGCCCAUAUCUACAUUGAAGUUCAAACAUUCUGGGUGAUUCGAUUGUGAGUAAAUCUGGCAUGUUCCUUAUUUAUCACUGUACCGAUAAUUUUGACAGAAUUUACUCUAAUUGAUUUUUUUCCUUGUUGUUUUGUUUUAUUUACUUUUAAAAUAAAUUUUAGUAUAUAUAGUUACAGUGAGAUUUAGUUGGUAACCUUUGAUUUUAUUGAAUCCAUAUAUUCUUCCUCUUUAAUUAAUCAUGUUUCCUCUAGUAUCCCAAUUGUAUACGGUAAGCAGUGUGUGAUCGUAUUUAUUUGCUCCUCUUCUAUAUAUAUAUGUGUUGACUUUUGUGAAUGUAUUUUUCCUUUUUGAAUUCCUCUAAUUGAUCACUUUUAAGAUUUUCUUCUCAGCCGUUUCCCUAUAUAAGUAGCUCCCUUGUCAUUUUUUAAAGGAUAUCUUUCGAUCUCAAAAACCCUUGGCACGAAACAAGAGCUUUUUGCUUAUCCUUACUGCUUAAAGUACUUUGGUGAUUUUGGGGUGUUGACGAAGCAUUCAGUUCACUUUAUUAUUGCAAUUUCUUUGCUUAAACAUCUUCUUUACUAUUCCUUUGUCGUAUACUGGUAAGUCUCUAUCGACGUAAAUUCUUUUUGAUGACUCUGUGAUAUUAUGGAACAUGUGUGAUUGCUGUAUCUGUGUUUCGCUGUUUUUACAUUUGAAAUAUGUUGUGGUAUAUUCGUCUGCCUCUUUUGUAUGCUUGCUUUGCUGUCUUUUUCAUGUCUAACAGGCGUAGCUAGUUGUAUCUUUAGAAUUUGAAGAGUUGUUGGGCAUUUUGUGGAAAAAGGGACUACUUAUGUCGUUACUAGUUUAGGCUUGUCUUUAAUUCAUUGUAUUGUAACAAACUUUGUAAACCUCCAGAUGCAAUAAUAAUUAUGGGGCUGUAUGAGGGGCGAAGUUUAUGUGAUUAUAUGAUUUAUUUUCUUACACGAAACACUUAGACAAAUAUAACGUAGGAUCAACAAUGAAUUUAUGUGGUCACUUAGAAAUCAUGUUUUAGGAAUGGUUAAGUAACUUGUGGGUCAAAGUCAAUUUUACAUCAUUUGUUUAAUUUGGGGUUCGACAAUUUUAAUAAAAAAGUUCCAGCAGUUUAUUAAUUUUCAGCAACAUAAAAAUCACUAUUCAACAUUGAAAAACAAUAAUAAUAAUUCUCUGCAUUUAUGUCACUUUUCAGCAUAUUAUUUCCUUUUCUAGCACUUAAAUUUAACUUCCAGUAUCUUGAAAUUAAUUUCCAGCAAUAUUUUGUUAAUUCUCACAAGUAAUUUUCAACAUGUUAACUAUUUUCAGCAAGUGAAUAAAUUUCCUAGCACUUUUUACAAAUUUACAAUAUGCUUUGCAUAAAAAUUAACGGGUAUCACUCCCCAACAGAUUGGCUUUACUUUGACAUACUUUCAUUUUAAAUAAUGUUGCUUUCGUUUUAACCACUUUUCGACAUUGCUUAAAAAUUGUCUGACAAUUAUCUUUCGUCGAUAAAUAAUUAUGUGACACCUAGAUAUUAUGUCUAUUGGUUUAACUAAAAAUAAAUAAUUAUUUAUCUUAGCGUGUUAAUCACCUUAAUCAUCUGUAAUUAAACAAGAGGCCUCUUUGAGACUAUUAUAUGCUAAAUGUUGUCCUACAUGUUUAUGAGCUUUGAGUCUAAUUAGGAAAACUAGUUUUAUUUGUCUAUACCUCAAAUCCAAAGUAGAAAAGUCCAACUCCUCUUGGACGAUAGGUUGGGAUGAUAGGCAUAUAAGAGGACGCUAGUUUUAUCCUUUUCUAUUUUGGAACAUCUUUAGGCUUAACAACCAACCCAGGAUGGGGUGGGUAGACAUUCAAAAAUGAUGGAAGUUGACCCGAGCAUGAUUCGAUAAUGCGACAUAUGACAUUGACUCCCGUCAAUAAGCCGGACGCUGAUCUGAAUUAAAACAGAUAAUUCCUUUGUUUGAUCGUGCGAAUUUGUUAUUCUAUUUCUUUUAUAUGUAAUUUAUUUGGGGUAGUUUAGGUUUGAUAAUUGAAUGAAUUUUGCUAGAUAGUUGUAUCACUUCUCUCUCCUUGCUUAUCUUAUUUAUAUAUUUUAUUGAUUUUAUAUCUUAGGUAUUGAUAGCUAAAAUAUUUAAAUUACAUGUCUUGUUUAUUCAUCACUUAGUUAAUAUUAAGCUAAUAAAAUUAGUGACCUAUUGUUUUAUCACAUAGAAUCUCCACGUAAAAUGCGAAUUCAGCCGGGAAUCACAUUUGUGGACCUCAAAAGGUGCCUAACACCUUCCUUUCAAAGUAAUUUGAACCCUUACCCAAACUUCUGGUGACCUAGAUUGAAUAACAAAAUAGGUUCGUAAUUAGCCUAGAAUGGUGCCCUAACUCACCUUAAUUCGUUAGGUGGUGACUCUUCUCUCUUUAACCCUCCAAAUAGAGUUGUCACGUUGAAUCUCACAUUUUAUGAGAAAAAUAGGGUGCGACACCUACCCUCUGGGCAGGUACCGCAUACGCGACCCGGCGAUCGCGUAUGCAAUGCUCGGGUCCUUUAUAUACCCAUGUUUCGUCAAUUUCGCUAUUUAUAUGAGACUUGGAGCUUAGGGUUUUUUAAUUUUGAGCAAUUUCUUCCACUUUUAAGCUUGUGCAAGCUCCAUAAUACCUAUUUCAACUACUUUAUCCAAAUUUUAUCAUGUAAUCCUUGUUUAAAUGCGAAUUUAAAGGUAGAAAUUGGGGAUUUUGAUCUGUAAGGUUAAUUCUUCUAACCAUGAUUUCACUCCAUUUUUAUUUCGGUGAGUUUCUAAUCUUGUAAUUAUCACUUUUCUUUCAAUUUCAUCUUCAAAACAACUUCAAAUUCUUAAUUUUAAAAUGAAUUCUGGGGAUUUUUGUCGGCGAAGCUUGACUGUGAUUUUUCCUUAAUUUGAACCUCGUUUCUAACUCAUUUUCGCUUGAAUUUUUAGCUGCAUACUCCUAAAAAUUUUGGGAAUACAUUUAAAAAAUAAAGUUGUAAUUUUUAUCUUCUUUUUCGAAAAUCCAUUUUAGGGGGUCCGUUUUGACCCCGACUCAAAAAUAGACAAUAUGGGUAUCGUUGCUUUUCUUUUGACGCAUAAAUUCUAUAUUUCUAUGUUUUAGUUAAGUCUAAGUCCGUUCGUGAGUAGUAAGGAUUUGGGUUGAAUGCAUCCGUAUCAAUUUUCGGCAUUCGAGGUAGGUUAUAGCUUAACUUUCUUCAGACUGGGCGGGGUAGUUAAUGUCGAGACAAAAGCAUGUUAAGGGUAUGGGAAUUAAUCACAAAAUGGCUAUAAUUAUUGUGUCGUGCCCGUGUGGAGGCUUAUAUAUUAUUGUGUUUGGUGAUUUAGAAUAUUAUUUGCUAUGUAUGCUCGUGUGGGGGCCUAUAUGACAUCGUUGGCUAUGAAAUACAUGAAAUUAACCGCGUCUUGUAUCAUGAAAAAGCCUAAUAUGGUAUCGAUGGCGUAUUUAAUUAUAUUCCACUCUCUUGGCAUAUGAUUUAUGUUGGCAUUCAUGGAUGGUUGGAAAAAAUUGAGUGAUUUAUGGGCUCACUUGGUUGGUAUAUUGGUUGGAUAUGGAAAUAAAAAUUCUGCUUAGUUGUGAGCGUUAUAUCCUUAUAUCAUACACAUUCAUGAAACAUUGGUACCACCGUGGGAAUUUAGGAAUACCAGGAACACUGGUUUUUUCUGAUAGAAACGUGACAUCUUUAAAAUCCUCUACCGAUGGAUGUGUCAGAGAGGAGUUAUGGAUAUUGAUAUUGGAUAUUAGUUGUAUACCAGUUGACGAACCCCCCAUGGGUCCUACGUCGGGAAGAUUUAGGUCCGUAGGUGUAUACGGAGGUUGUGCGACAACCUCAGGCAUCAUCAUCAUUAUCUUAACUAGACUCUCUUGAAUCCUAGUUAAGUGACAAUGAAAAUAUUCCAAUUAUAAGCUACACUAAGAUUCAACUAUCUCUAGAUCAAAUCCAUUAGAUGAGGUUUAAGGACUCAAAUCACACUGAUUAUCAUAUUCUAACCUUAGGUUGCUCUAUUAAUUCAUUUAAAGUAUAUGGGAAAGUCCUAGGGUUGAUCACUCAAUUUGAAAAGCAAUUAAAGCAUGAAAAUUAUUUAGAUAAGCACAAAUCCAUAUCAUAAAUAACAAGUAUUCAAUUAAUACAAAAGCGAAAGAUAUAAUCAAAACCAAAAUCUAUAAUUACAAUAUUCAAGAUUAAGAUCAACUAGUACACCUAAAUAUUCAAUACAAAGCAAUAGAUGAAGAAAGGGUAAUGAAUCUCUCAUUAAAAGUCCUCCAAAUCUUCACUCUAGGGGUGUUAGUGUUGUUUUUUGCUCUCAAAGUUGAUGAAAAUUUGCCAAAGAGGAUUUGAAAGGAGGUUGGACUGAGUUUUAUACAAUUGGAGUUAAGAAAAAUAUGAAAGAACUCUUCUUCCCAGAACAGUGGUCCUUCAGUUGCAUAAGAGACAUUUAAAUCAUAAGAGCAUCUCUGCUUAGGCGGAGAAAUAAGUGUAACAAUCCUCAUUGUGACUUUAAUGAUCUCUAUGUUUUAACCAUUUUCACUUUCUUGUGGUUGCUUUAUAUGAUUUAUUAGUUGUAAGAAUGGUUUGCUUGGUCCGCUAAGCAUUAAGGAGCGAUUUAUAUGAGUUUAUGGUUUUGAGUAGCCUUUAAGGAGAUAUAAUUGACUCUGGUCAAUUCUCUAUGAUAUGAGAAUUAGGUGGUGAUUUUAUCAAUUCCAUUAUAUUCGAAAUUCCCCUUUUUGUUAGUAGCAUAGUUAGGUCAGGUUUUGAGGCCCUUUUGUGAUUUUUGAGUGUUCGAUUGAAAUACUAGUUUAUUGGCCUAAAUGUGGUUUUGGUGGUAAAUUAUCGAUAACAUCUGUUGGGAACUUUGAUGAUUCCAUUGGGUUUGGAACAUAUUUUAUGAUCAAUUUGUACUAUUGGUUCAUGUUUAUAAGGUUUUGAAUGAGUUUUGAGGGUUAAAACAAAGAUUUAGAAAUUGAUGUUGUUGCUGCAAAUGCUUAAGUGACUGAUUUACUGUUUAAGCAACCUUUUACUAUUUGUUUGCGUCGCUUAAGCGACUAUCUUGCCGCUUAAGUGGUGUUUUGACUUUUUGACCAGACUGUGUAAGCAGACAAAGUGUUGAUUAAGCAGAAAUCACUGUAUUUACGAUCCAAAUCAAACCCAUUUUAUAUUUUUGAUAUUUAGGAAGCUAGGAAGCUCCAUUUGAGGUGAUUCUAUAAUUACUCGAGUCGUCGUUACACUGAAAUAAAGAGUAUAACCUUCACUUUGUUUUCCCAUAUAAAAUUUUUUGAAAUUUAUUGUCGACCUAGUCUUAGGCAAAUUUUAAGGGUGUGAUAGUUCAAGGAAAUCUGGUAGUAAAUGGAAAACGGGUGGGGUUAUUUUAUUUGAUUUUAUGGUAUAGCAUUAGGAGGUUGUAGCAACUUCCGAUACAUAAAAUAGGUUAAUAGAAUUCCAGUUAUAGAGAUUAUCGUGAAAGGGUGAGUUUGUGAUGUCAGAUAUUGAAAAGUGUGUUGUAAAAUAGCCUGAACUGGAAUAAGGUCCCAAGUUACUACCUCAGUACUGCUUUAGUGGUACCAGUAUCACUACAGUGGAAUAAGUACCACCACAACGGUGAUCUCAAUUGGAUUGCAAGCCAUUACAAUGAUAACUUUACUGCCAGAGUGGUAUCGCUGUUGCAGUAAAAGUGCUAUCACAAUGGUAAAAAUGUAGAAUUCUAUUUUUAAAACCAAAAAACUCAUUUUUCAUUCCUACUUUUUAUAAAAUGAGUAAAGGCUUAACAAGGGGUGAUUUCUGCACUUUUGGUGGUUUUCAUCUUUGGAGGUAAGAUUUCUCUACUUUCUAAACUAGAAUUACUUUCUAUAAUUCUUAGAAGUCGCUAGAAUCAUGUUCAUGGUAGAAAAUGGGAUUUAUCCCUAAUUUAUGGACUUAAUGUAAAUUGAUUGGUAUGUGAGUAAAUUCAGUCAGUAAUUAUCAUAGGUGUUAGAAAACACUUGAUUGAGUAGAAUUAUUUUUCUUCAUGCUAAAAUAUAGAGAAUUCAUAUGGUAUAAAAACUAGAAAACCCUAAGAUGAUGGUCUAAGGAAAGUUUAUGGUUGAAAUAGGUAAUCAUAGGUUUUUAAUAGUUGGAAAAGAUGAGAUUGUUGAAAUGAGUAUAAAUUUGUUGUUUAUCGAUCAAGAAUGGAUUGAAAGAGAGAGAAAAGACAAACUUGUGGCCUUAAAGUGAUUUUAGAAGGAAAUAAAGGUAGCUUAUGAUUUAUUUGUAGUAAAAAUACUUGCUUGACUCCGUUCUUAUAUGUAAAUAAGUGUUUCUAAUUUUCUUUGGGCACUACUUGUGAUUAUUAAAUGCAUUUGCACUUUGAUUGAUGUUGAUAGAAAAUAUUAUGUUUUGUGGAUAUGAGUUGAUGAUAUUAAUAAUGAUAUUGAGAUCAUGAUGAUGAUGAUGUAUAUAAUGAUAUUGAUGAUGAUGAUAAGAUGAUAAUUGGUGAUGAUGUUGAGAUGAGAAAGAUAUGAUACAUACAUAUUGCACACAUACAUUCACCAUAUGCAUUUGAAUGUACAUAUAUGCUUACACGUUGUGGUGAACUUUGUUGAUGAAUUUGACAAAGUGUAAAAGGUGUAGUUUGAGCUUGCAUUCUUGUGAAGUAAAGUGUUUUAUCUGUACUUGAUUAUCUUUGAUUAUAAGUUCUGUCUUGUUUGUUGUUAGCUAUAGUUGAUUUUCCUAUUUUCAUAGUAUUGAUUUGAGUCGACCUAUGAUUCCUAGCGAUACUUUGUUGAUGUACUGAUGCUACUUGUGCUCUUCUUUUUGUUGAGUGCGGAGCGGGUUCCAGCGUUUGAGAUGAGACCUCGACUCUAGUUAACAUUUGUAGUCUUUGAUUCAAGUAUGGUGAAUACUCAUACAACUAGAGUAGUAGAACACACACCAGUAACGAUACUAGCAGAAGCAUUAGAUAACAAUACUACAGUUUGGGUAAGGCAAGGAGAGGAGAAAGAAAGGCAACACCUAUUAGGGGCGUAAGCCCAGGCAGUUACAGGACCCGCUAAAAAGAGGACACCAUCUCCUCCCAGCAGGAUACUCCAAAUUUAGCUCAGAAGAGGAUGUGGUAGUUAAGAAAGAAGAAAUGGUGGUCCCUGAAAAUGUAGUGCCUGUAUAUAAUGGCAUAAUUCAAGUGCUUAUAUCUGCCAAAUUAGUUUAGUAGGUGUUGGGAUUUAUGAGUAAUUUGUUUGACCCCGAUACUGCUCCAACUGUUCCUGUUAUUUUGUCCCCAGCCUUACGACAUGCAAUUGAUAUAGUGCAUAGGAUGGAUGAGAGCCCCUGCUACCAAAGAGUUCCCUCGGCAGGUAUAGGGACUGGUGAUGAUUGAUAAUGAGCAUGGACUAUUCUAUAAGUUCUUGAAAAAGAAACCUCUUGUGUUAUAGGGAUCAUGGGUGUCUACAUAAGAUGGGUGUCGUUGAUAGGUAUGGUAUGGAACUUUUGUCAUUACAGUUGCAGGUUGAGGCAAGCAAUAAUGGAGGUCCUUUGUUGAGUGUAGAGAUGCCUUACCUCCACUUGACUUAAUUCUAGAAUGUGUUUCUUGAAAAGUAUGUUCCUUACAUUUAUCAUGAUCACAAGAAGGAUGAGUUUCUAAAGUAAGAGCAACGCUAUAUGACUCUGGUGGCCUAUGAGGCUAUGUUUUGUGCCUUAUCCCAUUAUGCACUUAAGUUGAUUACUUUAGAAGAGGAGCGGAUUAGGUAGUUUGUUAGAAGUUUGAUUUCAGGGAUUUAGAUGGUUACUUUUGAAAUGUGGGGGGUUGCACCACACUAUGGGGGACCAGGUCCGACAGGUCCCUUACAGUCGGACGCAUGCAAUAAAGUAGUAAUGGAGUAGGAAAUAAAAACUUUGCAAGAAAUUAAAGAACACAAUGAUUUAAAGUAGA